CAGCAUCAUGUCAUGCAUAAUACAAAAUAAAAUAAGUCUCGUAGCAACGAAUGUCCUCUGGUGUAGUCUUCAGAGAUUCCUUUACUUCGUCAGUAGGCCUAAGAAUGAAAGGUAACUAAGUAAUUUCAAAGAACUUAGAAAGAUCCAGAGAAAAUAUUGCAAUAGUUACAUAUAAUUGAAGUAAGCCUUUACAACUCAGGAAAGUCACACACUAGUUGGCAAAUACCAAACGCAGGUAGGCUAUACGUUGAACACUAUUCCUUUGGCAUGUACACU
rnacentral:lncRNA from 1 species